rnacentral:rRNA from 1 species
UACGAAGGGGGCUAGCGUUGCUCGGAAUUACUGGGCGUAAAGGGAGCGUAGGCGGAUAGUUUAGUCAGAGGUGAAAGCCCAGGGCUCAACCCUGGAAUUGCCUUUGAUACUGGCUAUCUUGAGUGUGGGAGAGGUUAGCGGAACUCCGAGUGUAGAGGUGAAAUUCGUAGAUAUUCGGAAGAACACCAGUGGCGAAGGCGACUCACUGGACAUGUAUUGACGCUGAGGUGCGAAAGCGUGGGGAGCAAACAGG